rnacentral:misc_RNA from 1 species
GAAGUCUUUUAAGGUCCCUUGCUCACAACAUUUACAAGCUAUUUCAAUUCAUCAACACUGCUUCUUCUGUUUCUUAUACCAAAUUCUGAAUAUGGCUCUUUCAUUGGAAAUUAAGAAAGAAUUUACCCAACUAUCAGAAAGGGUAAAAUCUGUGGAUCUACAUCCAACUGAACCAUGGAUUCUUGCAAGUUUGUAUUCAGGAACUGUCUGUAUCUGGAACUACCAGUCGCAGACCCUGGAGAGGUCUUUUAAGGUCACUGAAUCCCCAGUGAGGUCAGCAAAAUUCAUUGCAAGAAAGAACUGGAUUGUCACCGGAUCAGAUGACAAGUUCAUUCGCGUAUAUGAUCAAGAUACAAUGGAAAUGAUCAAAGAAUUUGAGGCACACAAAGAUUACAUUAGGUGUGUGUCUGUCCACCCUUCUCUUCCCUGUGUACUGUCAUCAUCUGAUGAUAUGCUAAUAAAGAUGUGGGAUUGGGAGAAGGGCUGGGAGUGCACUCAGACCUAUGAGGGACAUUCUCAUUAUGUGAUGCAAUCAGUUUUUAAUCCAAAAGAUUGCAAUACAUUUGCAAGUGCAUCACUUGAUGGAACUAUAAAGAUUUGGAAUCUGAAUUCCCCUGCUCCAAUUUCUACAUUGGAAGGGCACUCAAAAGGGGUAAAUUCUGUUGAUUACUUCAUCAACAGUGAAAAAACAUAUCUGCUAAGCGGUUCUGAUGACUAUACUGUCAAGGUUUGGGACUACGAAGCCAAAACUUGUGUCCAUACAUUAGAAAGCCACACGAACAAUGUUUGUGCAGUCUGUGUCCAUCCAGAGUUUCCCAUCAUAAUUACAUCUUCUGAGGAUGGGACUAUCUGUAUAUGGGAUGCAAACACUUACAGACUUGAGAACACAUUGAAUUAUGGUCUUGAAAGAGUCUGGACUGUUGGAUGCAAGAAAGGCUCAGACCAGGUUGCAUUUGGUUGUGAUAAUGGAACCAUUAUGAUCAGCGUUAGUGGCUCAAAAUGAGAGGCAACAAUUCCAAGAAAUAAUUGUGGAAAUAAUUCUAGCCACCAUUAGUGUUGCUUUUGCUGUUUGUAAAAUAAUGGUUACUAGCUUGUAUUUUUAUUUCAAGUAUUAGACCUUGGUGCCCACUCUCGGACGGCCUUAUCUUGACCAUAAGAUAAGGCACCGAUUAUUACAUGUACCAGGAGGAAUAACGUGUACUAGUCUUGUACGCUCUUUUGCCUUAUUUGGAACAAGAGAUUGCAUAUAAAUAUAAGGAUUCUUUAUCAUGGAUAAAAAGCA